rnacentral:rRNA from 1 species
UGGGGAAUAUUGCACAAUGGGGGAAACCCUGAUGCAGCGACGCCGCGUGAAGGAAGAAGUAUUUCGGUAUGUAAACUUCUAUCAGCAGGGAAGAAAAUGACGGUACCUGAGUAAGAAGCCCCGGCUAACUACGUGCCAGCAGCCGCGGUAAUACGUAGGGGGCAAGCGUUAUCCGGAUUUACUGGGUGUAAAGGGAGCGUAGACGGUAAUGUAAGUCUGAUGUGAAAGCCCGGGGCUCAACCCCGGGACUGCAUUGGAAACUAUGUAACUAGAGUACCGGAGAGGUAAGCGGAAUUCCUAGUG